rnacentral:rRNA from 1 species
AGCAGCCGCGGUAAUUCCAGCUCCAAUAGCGUAUAUUAAAGUUGUUGCAGUUAAAAAGCUCGUAGUUGAAUUUCGGGAUCAGUACGCUGGUCAUGCCUUUGGUAUGCACUGGUGUCACUGGUUUCUCCCUUCUGAAGAUCCGUGAUGUCAUUAAUUUGGUGUCGCGGGGAAUCAGGACUGUUACUUUAGAAAAAUUAGAGUGUUUAAAGCAGGCUCACGCUUGAAUACAUUAGCAUGGAAUAAUGAAAUAGGACGUUUGACCCUAUUUUGUUGGUUUCUAGGAUCGACGUAAUGAUUAAUAGGGAUAGUUGGGGGCAUUAGUAUUCAAUUGUCAGAGGUGAAAUUCUUGGAUUUAUUGAAGACUAAACUACUGCGAAAGCUAUUUGCCAAGGAUGUUUUACAUUUAAUCAAAGAACGAAAGUUAGGGGGAUCGAAGACGAUCAGAUACCGUCGUAGUCUUAACC